AAUAGCCAAUGUAAUUUGACACUUCAACUUACUGUGCUCUCUCCUAGUUGAUUCAGUUACUCACCCCGCUGACGUUGAGCUGAUUCUUAGUGGUUGUGACGAGAGAGAGAGAGAGGGGGGAAGACAUUUGAAAAAGCAACCCGAAACAAUUGAGGACUUUCUCUGUUAAACCUGGGCCAGAAGAAGUGAGCUGCUGGAGUCGUCCUCUUCCUGGUGUGUGAAUGGGUGGGGGGGGUGCUUCGCGCUGAGGUACCCAGGAUUAAGGUCAACCCAAGUAAGUGAACAUCUCAACUUUAUUCCUAAUGUUGUGGAACGGCCUGUGCCUUUUGGAGGGGGGCGGGGGGGCUCUCCCUCUCUCCUCUCUCCCCUUCUCGGAUGUCCCUCGUCCCCUCAAUUAAUUUCUGGACAGGCUGCCCUGCCGGGGCUAAUGAACAUGUCACCAAUUGCUCUUCUGGGGGAAAGUGAAGGGGGGAUGGGGUGCGAGAGUGGGGAUAGAAAGGGGGGGAGUGAGAGCGGGGGUACUUUGGGUUCACUGAAAAUAGAUACGAGUGGGGAGGGUGGCAAUAUCUGUCACCAGAUCGUUUUUCUAAAGCUGCAACAUUGCUUGUUUGCUUGGACAUACCGGGCCGCGCCUUGCACCGUGUUCUUGCCAAGUGUUUGGUUUUCUUUUUUUUUUUUUGGGGGUUCAAUAUGCAACGGCGACACUUUGUGUACAGCCGGUGGGUGGGACGCUGUGUGUGUGUGUGUGUGUGUGUGUGUGUGUGUGUGUGUGUGUGUGUGUGUGUGUGUGUGUGUGUGUGUGUGUGUGUGUGUGUGUGUGUGUGUGUGUGUGUGUGUGUGUGUGUGUGUGUGUGAGAGAGAGGUUUGACUCACCUCACAGAGCAGGCCGAUUUCAUCAGCAGCUCCCGGGGCUGAGUAACGAGUUGUUGAGAUGUUGCGUCUGUUUGGGAUUUGCACAGAGGUUUGGUCGUGGGGCGUGGUGGUGGGGGUGGGUUACAUGAGAGCAACACUGACAGCUGUAGUUUCUCUACGAGAACCCCACCGAGGGCUUACCUAGAAAGGUGUACACGCACAGUGGAAAAAGGUCACGGAGGCCCUCCUGUAGCAGUGAAAAAAAAUAGAUAAUACCUCCCACAGCCAGAAGUGCAAACCCGCGUUGCGUGGGAAAUGUGUGGAUCAGUGUGUCACGAAACACACAGUGUGCUGUGGGAUGAAUUAUGUCACGAGGGAAGGGGACGCUGUAAUUGGUCUGUCUGUUGUAUUAUACAAUACAGUGAUGGCUUAGGAAUUACAUUUGGAAUUGGGACAUCGCACCCCCCGCAAACAUGUGCACGUGUGCAUAAUAGAUAAGAGUGGUUAAUCUUGAUUAGGGCAGUGUGAAUACUGAGAAAUACUCUAGCCUGACAAACAUCUGCCCGGCCCAUGGAUGAGUGGGAUUAAGCAAGGCGAUUAUUGUAGAGACGUCAGGCGAGGUAGACAGCCAGCCAGGGCAGGGCCAAAGAGUGGGAGGGGGAUGUGACACGAGCAGUGAUGUGACAUGAGUGGCAACCGUACGACCACACAUCUGGUUCUCUCUCUAUCUCGUUCUCUUUCUCGUUCUCUCUCUCUCUCUCUCUCUCUCUCUCUCUCUCUCUCUCUCUCUCUCUCUCUCUCUCUGCAUGUGACACUCUUGACUCCAACCUCUUGUUUGAAGGAUGCUUGUCCUGUUUUAACGCGAGACCCGUCAAAAAACAAACCAUCUCAGAGGUGAAGGCUCUCUAUACUGCGCUCUGCAGAAAAAGGAUUUAUAGUGCUUUUCCUAGGUAUUUAUUUUUUAUUUUCAAUAUGACACCCAGUCUGCCUCGUUGCACUGCUUUGGGGAUGGCACGUUACUAGAAUACUACACGACUCUGCCAAGCCCGGUCGUUUCUCAGCUUCCACUGCGACUGCCACGACUCCUACACCAAUGCAUGUCCUAAUGAAUAAUUGCUUUCCUCUGUGACAUGUUCGGGUGAAAAGGGUGGGAAAGAAAUAUCCCCUUCCUGUCAGUGGUCUCCUUUUUUUCAUUCUUGUGUUUCUCGUGCGAUCUGGAACUGAUAAGCACAGGGCCCUCCGGCAACUGAACAGGAAGGACGGACAGAAAGGGAGAGAGAGGAGAGAGAGGGAGAAGAGAGAGAGAGAGAGAGAGAGAGAGAGAGAGAGAGAGAGAGAGAGAGAGAGAGAGAGAGAGAGAGAGAGAGAGAGAGAGAGAGAGAGAGAGAGAGAGAGAGAGAGAGAGAGAGAGAGAGAGAGAGAGA